AUUGAACGCUGGCGGCAGGCCUAACACAUGCAAGUCGAGCGGAUGAAGGGAGCUUGCUCCUGGAUUCAGCGGCGGACGGGUGAGUAAUGCCUAGGAAUCUGCCUGGUAGUGGGGGAUAACGUCCGGAAACGGGCGCUAAUACCGCAUCCGUCCUGAGGGAGAAAGUGGGGGAUCUUCGGACCUCACGCUAUCAGCUGAGCCUAGGUCGGAUUAGCUAGUUGGUGGGGUAAAGGCCUACCAAGGCGACGAUCCGUAACUGGUCUGAGAGGAUGAUCAGUCACACUGGAACUGAGACACGGUCCAGGCUCCUACGGGAGGCAGCAGUGGGGAAUAUUGGACAAUGGGCGAAAGCCUGAUCCAGCCAUGCCGCGUGUGUGAAGAAGGUCUUCGGAUUGUAAAGCACUUUAAGUUGGGAGGAAGGGCAGUAAGUUAAUACCUGGCUGUUUUGACGGUACCAACAGAAUAAGCACCGGCUAACUUCGUG
rnacentral:rRNA from 1 species